AAGAGAGAGACAUGCGCGCAUAUCAAUAAGCGGAGGAAAAGAAACUAACAAGGAUUCCCUUAGUAACGGCGAGUGAAGCGGGAAGAGCUCAAAUUUGAAAUCUUCAAGGUUUUACCUUGACGAAUUGUAGUUUAAAGAAGUGUUUUCUGCUGAAGUUUUGGUAAAAGUUCUUUGGAAUAGGACAUCAUAGAGGGUGAGAAUCCCGUAUUUGACCAUUAUUUUCAGCUUUGUGAUACACUUUCAAAGAGUCGGAUUGUUUGGGAAUGCAGUCCAAAAUGGGUGGUAAAUUUCAUCUAAAGCUAAAUAUUGGCGAGAGACCGAUAGCGAACAAGUACCGUGAGGGAAAGAUGAAAAGAACUUUGAAAAGAGAGUUAAACAGUACGUGAAAUUGUCAAAAGGGAAGCGUUUGACACCAGUGUUGUUUUCUCGAAAAUCAAUUAAAAAUGGCUCGAUUUGUAUUGCUGAGACCUUAAAAGCUCACUGUACAUUUUUCGUGUCUUUUUUAAUGCACUUUUCGUUUAACAAGUCAACAUCAGUUUCUUUUGUUGUAAAAGGGUCAUUGGAAGGUGGCUUUCUUUUCGGAGAAAGUGUUUAUAGCCUUUGGCCUCUGCAAUCGGAAGAGACUGAGGUCUGCAGCGUAGACUCUUCGGGGUUAGAUACAUUUGUGCUAAGUUAUAGCUUUUUAUAGACAACUUGUUGACUAUAAUUAGUCUUGUAGCUUACUCGCUUAUGCUAUUUUACCUACGCUUAGGAUGUUGAAGAUGUAGCACAUCAU
rnacentral:rRNA from 1 species